rnacentral:rRNA from 1 species
AUGUAUGUGAAGGAUUUUGAUGACGCCGUCAGACAAGUGGUUGAUCUUUUGUAUGAAAGCGAUGGUACUGCAGAAGGCAAAAUUAAAACAUUCUUGCUUCGUGGUUGGUUCGACGGGAGUGCUCGUCGGGUAUUGGGAGGAUGUGCUGUUCUUAGAGCUAUAGCGAAGCUUCUAAAAUCCACAACAUGUGAUGAUUCUGACAUGAGAAAGCACUUUGACAGAAUUAUCCAUGUGGACUGCUCCCUGUGGAAAAGCAGCAGGACCAUGCAGAGGACAAUAGCGGAGGAGUUGAACCUUCGCCAUGUAAUGCACAUAUUUGAUAAGGAGGAUGAAGAUGAUGAUUUCAGAGGAGUAGACAACAGCUCUAGAAAAGUGAUACCAAGGAUCGCAAGUUUGAUUAAUAAGUCUCUAAGAGAUGAAAGAUUUCUGAUGAUUUUUCAUAAUGGAGGAAGUGAAGAUAUUGAUCUCCUAGAGUCUGGCAUUCCUCUUUACGGUGAAGGUAAAUUGUUAUGUACCUAUGGUGGAAGAUUUUUGGAGGACAAGUGGAAAGAAUUCAAGUUGUUGCACACUUAUGAUAUUUAUAUUUAUCCGGCGGCAUAUUAUUAUACAAAUAUUGCACCUCAUAUUGAAAAUGUAUUGCACAAAGAAGCUGCUGGAGUGAUUGGUGACACCGGUAUGGAUGGCAUCAAUACAGAAACAGUUUUGGAUUGCUUCUUGUACUCAUUAUUCCUAACAACACGACUACCUGAAAACUUUACUGGUGUUGACUAUGGUUGGGCGACUCAUGCUUGUAACUACUGGAUAUGUGAUGGAAUCCUUGGUGAGGACAAAACAUGGGAUAUUGGCAAUACAUUGUAUCAUGUGAUACCAAUGUUGGGCAAUUCUACUUACGAAACAAGACGUUUGGCAUCCUAUUUGGAUGGACAGAAAAAACCCUAUGUGGGCUGGUAUUCAGUCACCUCCAACAAACUAAGGGCAGAAGAUAUCUCUAAUGUUCCUGGCAGUGCAUCAUCAUAUUUCUUAACAUUUCAGGGAGAUGAUCCAGCAUAUGUACGUAAUGAUUUGUUUCAACUAGCCAGCAACAACCUCCGUGUGCUAAAGCUCUACAACUGCAGCUUCACUUUUGCAUCUCCUCCUUUUCAGUGCUGCCACAACCUAAGAUUCCUUUGGCUUGACCAUUGUGCAAACACUGGGAAGAAGCAAAGUGGAGGGCCAAGUUUUCUGAACCUGCUGGUGCUUGACAUACGUUUCACAGAUUAUGUUUUCUUGCCUCAGAUGAUUGAACUGAUGACCAAUCUCAGGGAGCUAAAUACAAAGGGGGUCUCAUGGAAGCCUGCAAGUCAUGCAUGGAAAAAGCUACAGAAGCUUCAGAAGCUCCGAUUAACAGAAUCUUCAGAUGUGGUCACGGUGGACAGCUGCUCUUCCGUAGAUAUGAUGAACCUGGAGCUCCUUGACUUGUCAGGAAACACUCACCUGGAACAUUAUCAUCCGCAAGAAGCCUGA